GACGAACGCUGGCGGCGUGCUUAACACAUGCAAGUCGAGCGGUAAGGCCCUUUCCGGGGGUACGACGAGCGGCGAACGGGUGAGUAACACGUGGGUGGACCUGCCCUCAGCUCUGGGAUAAGCCUGGGAAACUGGGUCGUAAUACUGGAUAUGACUCCACGGUGCAUGUCGUGGGUGGAAAGCCUUGUGCGGCUGAGGAUGGGCCCGCGGCCUAUCAGCUUGUUGGUGGGGUGANGGCCUACCAAGGCGACGACGGGUAGCCGGCCUGAGAGGGCGACCGGCC
rnacentral:rRNA from 1 species